CGAGGGGUGCAAGCGUUGCUCGGAAUUAUUGGGCGUAAAGGGUAGGUAGGUGGUCUUAUUUGUCUGGGGUGAAAGCCUUGAGCUUAACUCAAGAAGUGCCCCAGAAACGGUAAGACUCGAGUCCUGGAGAGGGUCGUGGAAUUCCCGGUGUAGCGGUGAAAUGCGUAGAGAUCGGGAGGAACACCAGAGGCGAAAGCGGCGACCUGGACAGGCACUGACACUCAACUACGAAAGCGUGGGGAGCAAACAGGAUUAGAUACCCUGGUAGUCCACGCCGUAAACGAUGGGUACUAGGUUUGGCGGGUCUUGACCCCUGCUGAACCGGCGCUAACGCACUAAGUACCCCGCCUGGGAAGUACGGUCGCAAGACUA
rnacentral:rRNA from 1 species